AACAUCGCGCACCUGCGGGAACCUGCGGAAGGAUCAUUACCGAGUUAUACAACUCAUCAACCCCUGUGAACUUACCUACAACGUUGCUUCGGCGGGAACAGACGGCCCCGUAAAACGGGCCGCCCCCGCCAGAGGACCCCUAACUCUGUUUUUAUAAUGUUUUUCUGAGUAAACAAGCAAAUAAAUUAAAACUUUCAGCAAUGGAUCU
rnacentral:misc_RNA from 1 species